CGGAAUAGGAGAAGGGUCCUAGGUCGGUCCUGAAUAGAAGAAGGAGAGCGGAAAGGAGAACUAGGCCCUGCUUCGUCUCGGUGUGGUGGCUUCCGGAGGAGGGGGCGGGAGGUUGGGUGCAGUCCCUGACGUUCGGGCGGCGGGGUUCGGGCGACGUUAGGUUGUGUCAGCGGUGGUCGACGAUGUUCGUUAAAAAAACGGCGCCACGGCGGCGAGCGUCGCCGCUAGCCCCUACUGCUUGCUGCAACGAUGCAGCCCCCUCUUCGUACGAAAACGUUCCCCGCGUGACGUUGUACCCCGGUCGACGCUCCCAACCCCCAGCGGCAAGCGUCGACGACGGUACCUCGUAGACCUUCGUGGCAGCUCUCAGUAGCCGCGACGCUCCGUUGUGAGCGGCCUCGGUCGGCCACCGCUACGUCGUAAGUUCGGUGGCGUUUUAACCUCCCCCGCGCUGCGCGUCCCGUAUCCACGACACCACGUUGGAGCAGCUGUGCGACUGCGACUCUACGUCGGAGUAGCCGCGACGACCACGACGUUCAGCGGCCGCCACUUCGACGUUACCUCUCGAGCGGCCGUCGUUGGGGCACGAGGCUACGUCGUGAGUGAACCCCGCCGAGGGGCACGUCGUCGCAUCGCGAACGGCCGCCGAGAGCUUCGAGCCACGAAGUUACCUCGAAAGUGCGCCGCCCAUGACACGAGGCUACGUUGCGAGCAGCGGCCACGAUGUUGCGUAGUGGUUCCUCCUCUGUUCUCCGCCGCCGUGAGUGACACAACAACGUUGCGUCGUGCGUUCCCCGCCGUCCGCCGAUGAGCACGAGGCAACGUUGUGAGCGGCUGCCGAACCCUAAAACGUACCGUCGUGAGCGACCGCUGAGGGCUACAACUCUCUAGCUUCCUCCCUCUCCCCGGACAAACACGCCACCCUCCUCUUCUGACGCACACAACUGAUAAGUUGGUGACUCUCUAGCGUAGCGCCCUUACCUUAGGCUUGUUUAGCUGUUUGAAUUUUAGGCGGCCCACGUUCCAGCAGACGCUAGAGUAGCUCCCGGUGCGCCUUCCAGCUGAGGACACUAGAGCAGUUCCCGGUGCGCUUCGCUGACGACAGCAAGCCGGUGUGGUUGGUACCGCGGCCGCCCCUUAGAUAUGACGAGGGGAGUUAACUUGACUACGUGGCAGAACCGAAACCAGUCUUCACCGCGUUGUAAAAUAGAGACGAGACCUCGAGGAGAAGGAGAGCCCACUACCAAUUACCACUUGACCCCGUCUCGAAGGAAGUGGCAGCGCCUGCGAGGCCGUCCCUCUGGGUGACAGCGGGUACAAUAAGUGGUAGCGGUAGCGGGGUGAAGUGACCUACAAAGCUCUUCCGGACGAGUCGAGUUACCCACGAGAAAGGUGAAACGUCGAGGGAGGGAGGGUCGAGUCCCAAUCAGACAUACGGCUACUAUGCCGAGAAAAGCAGAGCGGAAAUGCAGUCUAUAACUCCACUGGUUCCUCUAAGACUUGACAAAACCCUUCCGUAGACCGGAGUACCGAUUAGACCAUUUCUCACCGCAAUUAGGAUAACGAACACUGGUCCAACUAGACCUACGAGAAGAAGGCUUAAAAAGUUAAGGCCACGACGUUAAGGGGACGUUCAUAGAACCAGAUGGCAACGUAAUGUACUUUUAAUGGUCUCGAAUAGACGUUGGGUGGGACCUAUUUUACCAAAGCUCCGACGUUGCGACCUUCCCUUUGAUGAGAGAUUGACGCGAACAGAGGCCGAUUAAUCGAGCCAUGAGAGACGGUAAGGGAGCAUAGAGUAGAACCACAAGCCGACCUGUACACCCGACAGUUCGUUCACCUGUUCAACUCCGCGUUGAAGAAUACCUCUAGAUUUGGACUACGAUUAUCACUGUACCGAAACCAAUUAACCCGUUGCCAGACGGCGGGCUCUCUGGAUCCCCCGGAACUCCAGAACCUAAACGAUGCGAAGCCCGUACGAGAAGCGGACGCAACCUUUACCAAUCUAUACUCAGAUACCUACUGACUACUUUCUGGAACCUAGCCAAGGGGAUGAGGGACACUUAGAAACUACGAGUCCUACAGUGAGAAAAGUCCCGACACUGAUGGUAAGUAGACCCUUUACUAGCGUUCCGGAGGAAGACCGUACUCUCUACGGAACUGAGGACUGGAAGAAGGAGAGAGGUGGUCCUUCUCGUAGAUGAGGUCAAGUCGUCCGGUAGUUAUUGGUUAGAACCUACAGGCCCGACGUGGCGUAAAGGCUGCGUAGAGUCCACGCGGUCAAGUGGGUAGAGACCGAGCACGAAAUUGUCAAGUCGGUCCAUUCCUCCUACGAUAUUCAACCUUGACGUCGCGAAGACCGCAUAUGUGACGAUCGAAGCGUAUAAACCGCGUGAAGAUACAAAGGAAAAGGUGUUCGUUGAAGAGGUCCGAGACCUUCCGUUUACAACUCCGCUUUACAGCAAAGAAGUGUACCAAAACCUAAGUCCCGGCUUAAGAGUGGAUGCUGUUGGAGAGGCAGUCCCCUUACCGAGUAUUAGUCGAUACGUUAGACACACUGGUCCAACUCCUCUAGAGAGACGUAGAAUAGGAGUUCACAAGAAAGCGCUUCCUCCAAACCGAUAACCGCCGCCUAACCACACUGACAGGCUGGUGACGAAGAUUACGGCUUUUACGGUGGAGAAAGGAGUACCACCUCACUCGAAUGAACAGGGUACUUGCUGGUUACGUAGCAGCGCACAACCUCGUAAGGACAGACGAGCCAGGACCUCAGGAAGUGGACUAAUUCGUUCUAGAAGAAGACGAAGUCGGGUGAUGAUGACGGAAUGCCGAAAGUCUGACGCUCUUACUUGGUGGGGGACUCGGUGAAUAAAGAGAAUAAUACGUGUCCCACGCAAACCCGUCGGUAUCCGGAAACGGAACAUUUCGAUAGAGACAUUUUGAGAGAGAAGAAUUAUCAUAUUAUAUACGUCUAGUAACGGUCAAGGAG
rnacentral:rRNA from 1 species